rnacentral:tRNA from 1 species
AAUAGGAUAUGAUAAAAUUUAGUCUUUUAGGUUCAUACCCUGAAGGUGUGUUAAACUUCUAUUA